rnacentral:rRNA from 1 species
AUUGAACGCUGGCGGCAGGCCUAACACAUGCAAGUCGAACGAGUGGCGGACGGGUGAGUAAUGUCUCGGAAACUGCUUGAUGGUGGUGGAUAACUACUGGAUAAGGUCGCUAAUUCCGCAUACCCUCAGAUGUGCCACGAUGGGAUUAGCUAGUAGGUGGGGUAACGGCUCACCUAGCCGACGAUCCCUAGCUGGUCGGAGAGGAGGACCAGCCACACUGGAACUGAGACACGGGCCAGACUCCUACGGGAGGCAGCAGUGGGGAAUAUGGAACAAGGGGCGCAAGCCUGAUGCAGCCAUGCCGCGUGUAUGAAGAAGGCCUUCGGGUUGUAAAGUACUUUCAGCGGGGAGGCGUUACCCGCAGAAGAAGCACCGGCUAACUCCGUGCCAGCCGCCGCGGUAAUAC